CCACAGGCGUUUGGAGGAUACCUCAGGCCUGCUGAGAGGAUGGACGUCGUCCUCACAGCCCUUGAAGCGAUGGUUGACUCCAGCAUCUAUGACAAGGAGGUGGCCUGCAGUGUGAUGGCCGUGGCCAUGGAAGACCACGCCUUCUGGCUAUCAGAUGUAAGCACCUUGGAGAAGGUUUUGAAGGAGCUGACCAAGGGCUCACAGCUGAGCAGGCUGCUAGAAGGAGUCACAGAAGACACGUGCAUCCUCUUCUUGGCUCUAAUGGCAAAGAGUGAAGAUAAUGAAGACUUUUUGGGUGACCUACGCCACCUCGAGACUUAUCUGAAGCAUCCAAGUGUGGAGAUGCGCACGGUGGUGCUCAGAGGGCUUGUCAUACUCUCCGAGACACGGGAGAAGGCAAGAAAAAUGGAGGUCGUGCUGCCAGAGAUCAUGGCCACCCUGCAGGCUGCCAGCGCAGACGUCAAGAUGAAGGCCCUGUUUGUCAUCCAAAACAUCAUGGGCCACGUGAAGAGGAAGGAGGCCAGCUCCAUCGCUGUGCAGCACGCUGAGGAGCUCCUGCCUCUCUUUGUCGAUAACAGUACAGCACAUUCCUCUGCACUCCCAAGGCCAUGGCUGUCCAAGCUGCUGGCUUGGCUGAGUGAAGAGGAAUUGUCUUAGGCCACAUAUAUGUACGCAGGUUUAAUGAAUGGAAGUAACAAACCUUCUUUGUGUAUAUGCAUGUAUUUAAUAAAAUCUUUUUAAAUAUUCA
ensembl:lncRNA